UUUUUGGAGAGUUUGAUCCUGGCUCAGGACGAACGCUGGCGGCGUGCCUAAUACAUGCAAGUCGAGCGGACCUCUUCGGAGGUCAGCGGCGGACGGGUGAGUAACACGUGGGCAACCUGCCUGUAAGACUGGGAUAAC
rnacentral:ncRNA from 1 species